GGAUGGUCUUCAUCAAGGGUGUCCUCUCUCCUCCUACUUGUUUGUUUUAUAUGCCGAUGCUCUGUUUCAUACUCUUUGAGCGGUGGAUCAAGGGGCAGAGCUGGAGCUCUACUGGCCUGCCCCUUAGACUUGGCAAUUCACCCGACCCAGAUGGGUUCUAACUCAACUCGGCUCUAAUGGGUCGGGUUGGUCAAUGUGUUGAUUGGGUUUUGACCCGAUCCGAUUCGAUCUGACUCGAACCUGAUAAAUUUAUAUC
rnacentral:lncRNA from 1 species